rnacentral:rRNA from 1 species
AUGGUAUUGCUUCCAACGGGGAAGCUGCGGGAGUACCCGCGCCCGGCCACAGCGGGCCAGGCGCUCGAGGACUUGGUGGAUGGGGACGCCGGCUGGUUCGUAUGCGACGCCGACGAGAUGGGGUUUGAGGGGCCCGUGGCCCCCGUGGGCGGGGCCGAGGAGCUACGCCCGGGGCAGAUAUACUUCGCGCUCCCCGCUGAGGCUCGACGGAACGGCCUCCGGCGCGAGGACAUCGCCGCUCUCGCUGUCAGGGCAUCCGCGGCGCUUGUUAAUAAGGCCCACAGCGUAGCAUCCUGCGCCGGCGCUGGACAACGGAGGCGCGCCGGCUCGGUGGCGCCGCUCGUUUUCGCCCCACCCCAGGAGGACGAGACCGUCGCUUAAAAGACCGUGCCGGCACUGGCAGCAAAGAGGCGGCCGGUGGCGCGCGCGAAGAGUGCCGGGAGGAUGCAGCCACGCUUCGCACCCGAUCUGAGCGCCAUUCCCGAGUGA